ACUGGAACCCACUGCCCUGACUAUUCAGGUUGAGAAAUUCUUGGCCACUCAUACACAUCAACUUCCACAGUAUACAUUCAAGCAGAAAAUAAUUGGAAGGAUUUUUUUUUUACCAUGAGACACCAGCGAAGAGAGGAAGAAAAAACAGGUCCAGAAGGAGAAAUGCAUGUCCUCGAGCAGCAACGUGAGGACUUUACUGAAGUGGACCACCCUUUUUGAAAAGAUUCAUUCCACUUUUUUUAUUUUAAACACUUGUCAUCCUCCAUUUUACUCAGUUUUGUUUAAAAUUCCAUCAUUCUGCAGUCACGAGGGCGAGGGAUUGGAAUAGCUUAGACCUUUCUUCAUCUAAAUCCGCCGCUGGAGGCAAAACUCCUGAGUGCUCAAUGAAGUGAAUCAUGAUGCCUUCUUGAAUAGGUUACUCCUUGCAGUUUCUCCGUUUUUGGUCAGGCCGGCAACUCCUCUUGGAUUAGUGGAUUCCUUGAAAGUUAUCUUUUUUCUUAUGCUGUCCAGUCUGCCAGGUCUGAUCUUCUUCCUUCUCCUGUGGAGAAAGAACAGUUGAGAGUUGGGUACAAAGCUUGCAAAGCACCUUGAGAAGGUCUCUAGAGAAGCAGCAUACAAAUAACUGGAUUGCCCCCAGCUCUGCAAGUCUUCCAAGCGAAGAAUCCCGCAUCAUGAAAACUGAACAUCUUAGUACAUCUUUUCAUCUCUUCUAUUUCAUGUUUACAGAGCUGACAAAGGAAGAAAACAUUAUUAUUAUUGUUUGGCAUAGCUUGCUACAUUUCUAGACGUGACAGUGAGGGAUCUGUGAUUUUUUUAAAGUGGAAAUAAAGGAGCAGCUCUGAAGGUCUGUUGUGUUAGGAAAGUGACCAUAAGGUUUAUUUUUUUCCAUAGGAAAACUGUUCAAUAGCA